rnacentral:rRNA from 1 species
AAACUAGGAUUAGAUACCCUAUUAUUUUAAGUUGAAUGUUGGGAGUAAAUGAAUUUAUGAAAUCAAAAAAUUUUGGCGGUAUUUUAAGCUUUUUAGAGGAAUUUGCUCUUUAAUGGAUAAAACGCCUUAAUCUUACUUAAUUUGGUAGCAGUUUGUAUACCACUAUAUAAAUUAUAUUAAAUAAUAAAUAUUUUAAAUUUUUUUAAUAAAAAAUAUAUUAAGUCAAGGUGCAGCAAAAAAUUAUGAAUGAAGUGAAUUACAAUGAUUUUAAUUAAUUUUAAAUAUGAAAAUAAAUUUAGGAUUUAAUAGUAAAAUACUAAUAUGAUGAGUAUUUGAAUAAAGCUCUAAAAUAUGCACAUAUCGCCCGUCGCUCUCAAUUUAGAGAUAAGUCGUAACAUAG